rnacentral:rRNA from 1 species
UACGGGGGGGGCGAGCGUUGUUCGGAAUCACUGGGCGUAAAGGGCGCGUAGGCGGCCCGCACAAGUCUGCGGUGAAAACCCCCGGCUUAACCGGGGGCCGGCCGUGGAAACUGUCGGGCUGGAGGCUGGGAGAGGGCAGCGGAAUUCCCGGUGUAGCGGUGAAAUGCGUAGAGAUCGGGAGGAACACCGGCGGCGAAGGCGGGUUGCUGGGCCGACACUGACGCUGAGGCGCGAAAGCUAGGGGAGCGAACGGG